UUUCUGAAGGUCCUACUCACUAAACUCGGAGGCAAUGACUGAGAUGUUGUGCCAGGCGUUCUCCUCACGGUCCAGCUCCCGAAGGAGGAACACGGAGCCGUUGACGGCGUGGACGCCGAACACGCGGUCCAACACGAGCUGGAGUCGAGGACAGCCGACGUUGUCGUGAAGUCAGUUGCCAGUCAACGGCAGAGCACAGAUUCCAACCUUGAACUUCUGAACUGAAUUGAGGGACUACCUGAUAGGACUCCGCUUGCCGUCCGGGUCCGAGGCGCUGACGCUUCCGAUGAUUGUGUUGGGGGCGGCGUCCUCGCGGACCUCCAUCAAGUAGCUGGCGCGCUCGAAGACGGGCGGCUCGUCCACGU